rnacentral:rRNA from 1 species
GACGAACGCUGGCGGCGUGCUUAACACAUGCAAGUCGAACGGAAAGGCCCUGCUUUUGUGUGGUGCUCGAGUGGCGAACGUGUGAGUAACACGUGAGUAACCUGCCCUUGACUUUGGGAUAACUUCAGGCAACUGGGGCUAAUACCGGAUAGGAGCUCCUGAUGCAUGGUGGGGGUUGGAAAGUUUCGGCGGUUGGGGAUGGACUCGCGGCUUAUCAGCUUGUUGGUGGGGCAGUGGCUUACCAAGGCUUUGACGGGUAGCCGGCCUGGGAGGGUGACCGGCCACAUUGGGACUGAGAUACGGCCCAGACUGCUACGGGAGGCAGCAGUGGGGAAUAUUGCACAAUGGGCGGAAGCCUGAUGCAGCAACGCCGCGUGCGGGAUGACGGCCUUCGGGUUGUAAACCGCUUUCGCCUGUGACGAAGCGUGAGUGACGGUAAUGGGUGAAGAAGCACCGGCUAACUACGUG